rnacentral:rRNA from 1 species
AGUGGGGAAUCUUAGACAAUGGGCGCAAGCCUGAUCUAGCCAUGCCGCGUGAGUGACGAAGGCCUUAGGGUCGUAAAGCUCUUUCGCCAGGGAUGAUAAUGACAGUACCUGGUAAAGAAACCCCGGCUAACUCCGUGCCAGCAGCCGCGGUAAUACGGAGGGGGUUAGCGUUGUUCGGAAUUACUGGGCGUAAAGCGCGCGUAGGCGGAUUGGAAAGUUGGGGGUGAAAUCCCGGGGCUCAACCCCGGAACUGCCUCCAAAACUUCCAGUCUGGAGUUCGGGAGAGGUGAGUGGAAUUCCGAGUGUAGAGGUGAAAUUCGUAGAUAUUCGGAGGAACACCAGUGGCGAAGGCGGCUCACUGGCUCGAUACUGACGCUGAGGUGCGAAAGUGUGGGGAGCAAACAGGAUUAGAUACCCUGGUAGUCCACACCGUAAACGAUGAAUGCCAGUCGUCGGCAAGCAUGCUUGUCGGUGACACACCUAACGGAUUAAGCAUUCCGCCUGGGGAGUACGGCCGCAAGGUUA